ncrna:unclassified sequences RAGATH-18 RNA
CCUUUGGAGAACUAUAUAAACAAAAGUAGUAAUUAUACAUUAUGAAAUUGGGUUCAUUGAAUAAGGAA